UACGUAGGGGGCUAGCGUUGUCCGGAAUCAUUGGGCGUAAAGCGCGCGUAGGCGGCCCGGUAAGUCCGCUGUAAAAGUCCAGGGCUCAACCCUGGAACGCCGGUGGAUACUGUCGGGCUAGAGUCCGGAAGAGGCGAGUGGAAUCCUGGUGUAGCGGUGGAAUGCGCAGAUAUCAGGAGGAACACCGAUGGCGAAGGCAGCUCGCUGGGACGGUAC
rnacentral:rRNA from 1 species